GACGAACGCUGGCGGCGUGCCUAACACAUGCAAGUCGAACGAGAUCCAUGGGAGCUUGCUCCCGGAAGAUCUAGUGGCGAACGGGUGAGUAACACGUGAGAAACCUGCCCUGGAGUGGGGAAUAACUCGGGGAAACUCGAGCUAAUACCGCAUACCCUCGGAUGGUCGCAUGGCCGACCGAGGAAAGAUUUAUCGCUCUAGGAGGGUCUCGCGGCCUAUCAGCUAGUUGGUGGGGUAACGGCCUACCAAGGCAACGACGGGUAGCUGGUUUGAGAGAACGAUCAGCCACACUGGGACUGAGACACGGCCCAGACUCCUACGGGAGGCAGCAGUGGGGAAUCUUGCGCAAUGGGGGGAACCCUGACGCAGCGACGCCGCGUGCGGGACGGAGGCCUUCGGGUCGUAAACCGCUUUCAGCAGGGAAGAGUCAAGACUGUACCUGCAGAAGAAGCCCCGGCUAACUACGUGCCAGCAGCCGCGGUAAU
rnacentral:rRNA from 1 species